UACAGAGGUCGCGAGCGUUAAUCGGAUUUACUGGGCGUAAAGCGUGUGUAGGUGGUUGUACAAGUCGGUUGUGAAAUCCCCGGGCUCAACCUGGGAACUGCUUCCGAGACUGUACGACUAGAGAUCGGCAGAGGGCGGUGGAAUUUCCGGUGUAGCGGUGAAAUGCGUAGAUAUCGGAAGGAACACCAAUGGCGAAGGCAGCCGCCUGGGCCUGAUCUGACACUGAGACACGAAAGCGUGGGGAUCAAACAGG
rnacentral:rRNA from 1 species